rnacentral:rRNA from 1 species
CACCGUAGUUUACUACACCGUAUUCUGUGAGUUGCGAACGGGUGAGUAACGCGUAGGUAACCUGCCUGGUAGCGGGGGAUAACUAUUGGAAACGAUAGCUAAUACCGCAUAAGAACAUUUACUGCAUGGUAGAUGUUUAAAAGGUGCAAAAGCAUCACUACCAGAUGGACCUGCGUUGUAUUAGCUAGUUGGUGAGGUAACGGCUCACCAAGGCAACGAUACAUAGCCGACCUGAGAGGGUGAUCGGCCACACUGGGACUGAGACACGGCCCAGACUCCUACGGGAGGCAGCAGUAGGGAAUCUUCGGCAAUGGGGGGAACCCUGACCGAGCAACGCCGCGUGAGUGAAGAAGGUUUUCGGAUCGUAAAGCUCUGUUGUUAAGGAAGAACGUGUGUGAGAGUGGAAAGUUCACACAGUGACGGUACUUAACCAGAAAGGGACGGCUAACUACGUGCCAGCAGCCGCGGUAAUACGUAGGUCCCGAGCGUUGUCCGGAUUUAUUGGGCGUAAAGCGAGCGCAGGCGGUUAGAUAAGUCUGAAGUGAAAGGCAGUGGCUCAACCAUUGUAGGCUUUGGAAACUGUUUAACUUGAGUGCAGAAGGGGAGAGUGGAAUUCCAUGUGUAGCGGUGAAAUGCGUAGAUAUAUGGAGGAACACCGGUGGCGAAAGCGGCUCUCUGGUCUGUAACUGACGCUGAGGCUCGAAAGCGUGGGGAGCGAACAGGAUUAGAUACCCUGGUAGUCCACGCCGUAAACGAUGAGUGCUAGGUGUUAGGUCCUUUCCGGGACUUAGUGCCGCAGUCUAACGCAUUAAGCACUC